CUAGUUUAGGUUAGAGCAGCUCCAACGGCCGUGAAACCCGUUUUUGAAUUGUAAAAAUAUAAUAUUUUACUAAUAAUUUAGUUUUUAAUUUAAUAUUUUACUAAGAGCAUCAUUAUCGCAGUCUUUUGGUGGGUCUCUUAAGCUAAUUUUCAUUUUUAAAAAAAUCAAAAACACAUAUUAAUCUAACAUACGUCUCUUAAUCAAGCUAAACAAGAGAUCGUUUUUACUGGACACGUGUAGGCUUUGCUUCUCUUCUCUUCUCUCUCUCAACCUCUCUCUGUGUGCAAACGAGAUUCUCUCCCUCUCUGUGGCUUCAUGAUGCAAAUGGAUAGAUUGUGCUUCAUACAAUAUCCAAACUUUCAAAUUCCAAUCUUCAAAAUUCGCCAUACCCAUCGAUUCAUGUCUUUCCCCAGAUGAGAAAAGCCCUAAUUUUGAUUUCCUAGAAAAAAAUAAAAAUCAGCGGAUGAGUGCGAGGGAGAAGUUCGAUGGAAUCUACUGAUUUUGGUACUCAAAAAUCCGAUGUCUAAGUUUAUUACUGGUGAAAGUAAAUUUGAACAGAAUCUGAUGCGUCUCCAAAAUCCGAUGUCUAACUGGAAUAUAAUUUUGAUCUUGGUGGGAAAAAAAUGGAGCUUUGUGAAUGUUCAAGAGCUGCAGAGUUUCCAGAAGAGCUUUGUGAAUGUUCAAGACAUUUUGGAUCAGAACCGGCUGUUGAUCAACGAGAUCAAUCAGAACCAUGAGUCCAAUCAACCUGAAAACUUGCAAUCUAAAGGCAAGUUUAUUACACUGAAAACACCAUUCUUCUGGUCUGCAAAGAUACCAAAUCGUAAAACUCCAGUUCGGUCCUGUUUUAGUUUCCUUGUGCCUUUGUACUCUCAUAUGUAAGAAGGAAGUUGUGUCUACAGAUAAAGCACCACCUACUGUAGGACCAUACUCUCAGGCCAUCAAAGCCAACGGUUUCGUUUUCGUUUCAGGUGUUCUUGGACUUGUGCCUGAGGUUUGUUUCACGUCUUUUUAGAAUAAGUAGUCUUGAGUUUUGGUUUACCUUUUUGAUUAUAUAUUCUUCAUCUUCUAUGUUUGUUCUGGACACUGCUCGAGUACACGCUUUCAUCGCUUCCUUUUCCACAUAGAAACCAAUAGCUACUGACCAAAUACCAUCAAUAUAUGCCCGUUAGAGCUGUUCUUAUAGAGCUCCGAUGCUUACUAGCAAACCUUGGCUCGACCCUACACAGAUCCUUGUACAAGUAAAGUUAAAUAAGGCAGAUGAAGAAGACUGGCGCCUACACAUGCAUGCAAGUCGAUCAGUUCGCCGUUUCGCCUAUCGGCAAAGGAUUGUUCAUGGAACUACUAUCGAGAUUCUUCGGACCAUCUUUCCUAGUCUCAUCUCGAUGUUCAGUCGGGCGGCGGCCGUUAGGUCUCCUAUUUUGAGUCCUAUUAAGAAUGAGAGUGGCUCUAUCACUAUGGUUGAUGUGUUAUACUCAUGACUGCCAUCUAAAUUUUCUAAUUGCGGUCUUUUGGGACACAAAGCUUCUCGCUGCCUACGUAAGCUUCCUCCAAGACAACAAGAUAAGCCCUCCACUAAUGCUGACAUUGCUUCAGAUGAUGUCUCACUGUCCAAACCUUUUCCUACUUUGCCUUUUAAGUGAACCAGAUUCAAGUUUUAAAGCUUCAGUCACCACUACUGGUGAAAGUGUUAUCUCAAUAGCAACAUCUAAAUCUCAAGCUGCAAUUAUUUCUACUCCAGAGGUAAUUGAGUUUAUCUCACCGUCUGCAGCAGAUAAUGCUGUAAAUCAGUUUGCAAUUGCUACCUCAACAAAAUCAGUCAGCACCAUGAUAUCUCCACCAAUCAGUCAUCAUGAUACAUGUAAUGAAUCAAAUAUGUUUGAACCCGUUACUUCUGCUAAUGUGGAAGACCUGAUUUCUUUAGCUACUGUUACGAACUUGAGAACAUGUAUGUUUCUCCUACUUUUAUUUGUAUUAAUGAAGUUGUUGUGUCUCCGAGUAUGGAGUCCACUCGAUCCUUGCCAAUCACUGAUACUCCGAUAGCUCAAGUACCUCCAGCGGUCCAAAGAGAAAGUAGCGGAAUAGCUCGACUUGUUUUAGGCUCAAACAAGUUUGCCUUGUUGAUAUAUUUGCAAGAGGAAGAAGAAGACCCAGUGGGUUUUACCUCAGAGACGAACUCGAUGGAUCUUAUGACACCUUCUGGGAAAAGAACCCUUCGAGAAAGACCAGUUAAGCCAUCAGAAAAAGCUAGAGAGAUGCACUUCCGGUUCACAGGUAGCGGCCGAGGAAACCAUGGACAACGUGGACAUGGAGGUGGAAAUGGCUAAAUUUACUCUUUUCUACCACAAAAUUCAAUCGAAACUGAUGAUUUGAUUGUCUUUGGUUCUUUAUAUUAUCUCUUCACUUUUGUGAUAGCUUGUUGAACUGUAUGACUCCGGUCAUAGCUUGUAAUCUUUUAAAAAAAAAUCUAAUAAUAAUAAGUAUUUAAAAGAAGUUAUUAAAAUGAGGUUCAAAAGUAUCAGGUUAUAACUGUCUCUAUUACAAAGAUCUGUCUCAGCUUCUUUUGAAUUCUUUUAAUGAAAACAUUGAUGUUGAACUAUUUUGUUUAUAUUACUCAUAUUUAUCCCAAUAAUAUGAGAAUAUUCCUCAAGACAUGAUCAGAUGAGUAUUUAUUUUUAUUUUUUGAUAAGUAUGUGAAUUCAUUCACUAAAGGUAAAUGAUAUAUCAGAUACUACCAGAGCUUGAAUGAUCAGGUCUAUUUUCUUUUUGCAUCUAAAACUAAUUAAAGCAAAGGUCUUAGAAUGCCCCAAAAAGAUAAUAAAGACACUCACAUACUUGAAGGUUCAAUUAUCUCCUAAAAGAUGAUUAAAGCUCAGGAAAAACAUGAAACAUAAUACAUAUAUCAAGCCAGUAGAUUUGAGAAUCUAGAGUUGAACCUCACAACAAUCAAGUAGAUUUGAGCAUCUAGGGUUAAUUUUUUGGAUAUAAUUUAACUUUACAAAGAUUUGUGUUAACUCAUUCUGUGGGGGUGGUUCACUCUGCAACUGAUGGAUUCAGUGAGGAGCGGAUUAUCAGACUCGGAGGAUUUGGUGCCAUAUUUAUAGGAAGACUCUCUUCAUCUCUGUAUAUAAAAUUUCCGCGAAGAAGAUAACAGAGGGUAGCUACCAUGGUAUAAGAAAAUUCAUUUUAUUAAUCAAAUCAUAGACUGAAUACAACUCGAGACAUAAGUUCCUAUUUAUAUAAAAACAAAAUAAUUUUAAACUAUUAAAAACCUGGUAGAUAAUUCCAACUAAUUUAAGAUAAAUAUCUAAAUAAAUGAUAAAUAAUGAAAAUAUUCAGAAUAUAUGCAAAUAUCUCUCUACAUCACUAAUGUCAUCACCAACCCAUAAUCAUAUGUUGGGUUGCAUUGGAGAAGAAUAACAAUGAUCUCUAUUACUAUUUUCUAUUCCAAAGUUUUGUAACAAAUAUAGUAUAACACAAAUUCAUGGUACUCUUAAAAGUUGUAUGCAAUUCAAAUGAACCAUUUAGAGUUUUCUAUUACAAAACCUUAUAUCUAAUGCAAACAUAAUUUUUUUCAUGAACAAUAUAUUUCGAUGAAGAAUAUAAAUGAAAUUUUACGACAGUUCUUUUUUUGAUGAAAUGUGAAAUCUAUUGAUCAAUGUAGAAAAAAUGGGCAUUUACAUCUUUUUUUUUUUUAAGAAUUUUAAAUUUAUUCACUUCAAAAACUUUUGUACAACCUAAUGCUAUUUUUCGUAGAUAGCUAUGAACUUAUAAAUGACUUUAAGAAGAAGAAGAAGCAUUAUCUACUCCCAAACCAUAUCUCCAUGGCCUUCUCAUAUUUACUUCCAACUCUCUUUCGCAAGGAGGAUAUUCUGUUUCUGACCAAUCUAUCGAUAUAGAUAAUCAAACGAGCAGGGGGUUGAGAAGGUUCUCCAACUCUUCGGGUGUUUCUCUCAUGCCAGAUGGCGUAGACUACCGUUUGGAAACAUUAUCGAAAGAGGAAGGUUAGUUUUGGAUAUGGAAGACCUGUCACUAACCUUUCUGUCAAGGAUUGCCAUCACACAGAAUGCCCUUGCCCAUCCCGGCCCCUUAUUGUUCCUUUCGAUACUUCUUCAGAGAAGACACACUCAAAAAACAAAUGAUCCCUCGUUUUAGUAGUUGCAUUGCAGAGCCAGCACUUUGAUAUUGCUUGGGGGUUCCACUUAAGCAACCGAUCUCCCGUCGAUAAGCUGUUAUGAACCGCAACCCAAGUCAGGAAGGAAAAUUUUGGCGUAUCCUCCUUGAACCAUAUCCCCUUGGACCAAGGAACACGGUUUACGGAAAUAUUGUUGUAUUUAUAUUAAAAAGAAAAUUUAACUUAAAUAUCUAAUAUGAUUAAUUAUCUAACUGGUUGUUUAGUGCUUACUGUUUUGUCAACCAGAAAAACUAUUCUAAUCUGCCUUAAGGUCCGACUAAUUUUUUCGCUACCACCCGUAAACAUAGUUUUUGUGAUUGGUAUCGACUGUUGGCGUUUUGAAACAAUCACAUAAAAUGCUACAAUCGUUAGUUUUUGUGAUUGGUAUCGACUGUUGGCGUUUUGAAACAAUCACAUAAAAUGCUACAAUCGUUUUAAACCGCUCUGAAACUUUUAAAACCAAAAGCUGGUUCAAGCUAACAUUUGCGGUUGCGGGCGUUUGCUGGUUGAUAAAAAAUAUAAAAUUAUUAUCUAAAAUAUUUUCAAAAUUAAAAUUAAAAUUUAAAAUGGAAAUAUUAUAAAUACAAUAUAUACACAUUUUAUUUUUUAAGCUUUUUAUAAAGGAUCCCCGAAAUCUGAGGUUAGGUUUUCUAUACAGUCCAUUAUUCAAACUAUUAGAAUGACUCAUAUUUUUUGAAAAUUAUUAGAAUAUUUUUCUGGUCGAAAUUGCCCUUGUCUAUAGUUAUAACAAUAAAAAAACAUUACCAAAAUACCCUUAAUAUUUGAUCGACGGCAGAUUUAUUUUCAAAAAAAUAAAUCUAUCGACUAAUAAGUCUGUUUAUAAAAUCUGUAUAGAAAAAGAAGUCUACCGUUAAAUUGGUGUCAGACUUUCUUAUAAACGUCAGAUUUGUUUUCACGGCAGACUUAAUUAUCCGAUUAAAAUAGAAAAUAGACUUUUAAGAAUAUGUCUGUCGAAUGAGGUAGUAGAUUUGUUAUAAAUGGUAGAUUUCUAUGGUCAACUUAUUUUCUUAUGGGCCGGCUUAUUUUCUUAUGUUCGACUUAUUAUUUUACGGCAGAGUUAUAUAAACGACUUAAAAUUGUUGGUAGACUUUUUGUUUAUGUGGUAGCAGACUUUUUAAUUUAUAUCAUGACAGAUUUAUUGACCGAAAUCUGGGUUUAUGUAAACCAGACUUAAGUUAAUGUUCAAUUUUGAACCGGUUUACAUAAAUUUCGAAUCUGAUUUAUUUUUAAGUUAAUUAAGAUCAAAAUUAGGUAAAUUUUUGGUAAUUUUCGUCAUCUCUUUCAUAACUCUUUUCUUAUUUAUCAAGUUUUCCCUUUUCAUGUAGUUUAAUCACUUGUUCCAAUACGAGGAAUUAUUUUCUUACAUGUACAUGAUUAGAAUGAUGAACAAUCUAUUGUCAAAGCCACAAAUAAUGCAGUGAGCUUUCACAGGAAUGAGUUUCUUACCAUGCAAUUAAAAAAAAUCUUGCUCUUCUGGCAGUUUUCAACAGUGACAAAGUCAAAAUCAUAAAUGGCAUAAUGACAUUCUUCAGCAGAGAGGCGUACAUCAAAGUCCUUAUAUGUACGAAUAGGUUCUUGAAUUUGACAUGUUCUUGAGUUUGUAAGAAAAGGUUCUUGAAUUUGACAUGUUCUUGAGUUUGUAACUUUGUAUCAGAUACUGCUCUCUUUCAAUUCAUAUUACAUAUC